GGUUUAUUUAGCUCGAAAACAAUGGCGGACUAGGCUAGUUCGCUUCAGGAGAAUUUUUGUUGUUUUCAUGAAUUGUGCAAGUUCAAUGGAGUAUUUUAAGGUUACUUUUUUGUUCAUUGGUGUUGUUAACGUAAGUAUCUUCAUUACUUGUAUUCUUGUGAUCAUGCUUUUAGCUAUAUUAUUCGUAUUUUCGGUAGGUAAUACCUCCUUUGUUUACACAUGAACUACACGCUAGAAAGUAACAGUUAUUUUUCUGGGUUAGAUUUUCUCUUUAUCACCACUAUUCCUCAUUUGAAUCUGCUGUA
rnacentral:sRNA from 1 species